GAGCAACAAGAGGGCAAUGCCCCUGAGCAACAAGAGGGCAAUGCGCCUGAGAAACAACUUGUCGUGCAACAAGAAGAAAUAUAUUGGCGAGGUAUAUGUAAAUGUAAACAUAUAUAAUUAAUGCAUCUCUUACGUACAUUAGGUUUUAGACUUAUUACUUGGUUAUUAAUUUAGUAUUUUUGUUUCUAUAUCUACGUGU
rnacentral:lncRNA from 1 species